rnacentral:rRNA from 1 species
GAGUUUGAUCCUGACUCAGAUUGAACGCUGGCGGCGUGCCUAACACAUGCAAGUCGAGCGGCAGCGCGGGGCAACCUGGCGGCGAGCGGCGGACGGGUGAGCAAUAUUUGGGAAUCUGCCUAUUAGUGGGGGAUAACCCGGGGAAACUCGGGCUAAUACCGCAUACGAUCUACGGAUGAAAGCCGGGGACCGCAAGGCCUGGCGCUAAUAGAUGAGCCCAAAUCGGAUUAGCUAGUUGGUGAGGUAAUGGCUCACCAAGGCGACGAUCCGUAGCUGGUUUGAGAGAACGACCAGCCACGCCGGAACCGAGACACGGUCCAGACUCCUACGGGAGGCAGCAGUGGGGAAUAUUGGACAAUGGGCGCAAGCCUGAUCCAGCCAUGCCGCGUGUGUGAAGAAGGCCUUC